GAUGAAGAACGCAGCGAAAUGCGAUAAGUAAUGUGAAUUGCAGAAUCCAGUGAAUCAUCGAAUCUUUGAACGCACAUUGCGCCCGCCAGCAUUCUGGCGGGCACGCCUGUUCGAGCGUCAUUUCAACCCUCGACCUCCCUUUGGGGAAGUCGGCGUUGGGGACCGGCAGCACACCGCCGGCCCUGAAAUGGAGUGGCGGCCCGUCCGCGGCGACCUCUGCGUAGUAAACCAACUCGCACCGGAACCCCGACGUGGCCACGCCGUAAAACACCCAACUUCUGAACGUUGACCUCGAAUCAGGUAGGACUACCCGCUGAACUUAAGCAUAUCAAUAAGCGGAGGA
rnacentral:misc_RNA from 1 species